rnacentral:lncRNA from 1 species
AAACAAAUAAUAUUUUGAGAAAAUUAAUGGGAAAAUAUCUUGUAAUGAAAUCCCUAUUACACAUUUCUCAUUCAUGAAAAACCUUUUACACACUUACUCUUUUAAAAGUGUGUCUAAAACGAGAAGUUUUAUUUUGUGUCUCAUACAACUAAUAUUGAGGCUCUUUUUUGUCUCAUGGACCACAAUCUUACACUUUUGGGUCUGCAGAAAUUUGGGUACACAAAUUUGUGAGACAAAAAGAAGCCUCAUACAACUAUUGUCAAUUGUAUGAGAUACAAAAUAAAAUUUCCUUCUAAGAUAUACCACUUUUGUAUUUGACCAAUUUUUGAGAUAACGUGAAAGCCACGCCCUAAUAGGAUCG